CGUUUGACAUUUUAUAUGCCCUCUGAGAUUCACAUCCUUUCAAGGAAUUGCUUUUGUGAUAUGAAUUAUCAAUAAAAAGAUGGUAAUGGAAACGUUUUCCGUUCCGCAAGCUAUCGCUGUUUUUGUAUUUCUGGCUCAUAGUACGCAUAUAUACGUGGCCUCUCAGAUCGAUAUCAGUACUGGUUUCAAAUUUAUUCACUAUGGACCCUAUCAAAUCGGUGACACUUAUCGAGGAGUAUGUGACGUGAAAUUACCUCCUGAUGAUAAUAUAACGAACGUAGAUGCCUACUGGAAUUUCGGGAAUGCUAACUUUUGUCACAACGGCCAAAAAGUAUGAUUGCUAAAUAGAAACUUUACGUGUAAUUCAACUACGGUAGGGAAUACAACUGCCUUCGAACUAAGAAUUCCAGACCUGAGAUUAAAAGAUGCAGGUACAUACGUUUGUAUUGUAAAGCAUAACACAAAAGAAACCACCACAACUUUUUCUGUUAAUGUUACAGUCACAGAUCCUUCCAUCACAACACCAG